UAGGGAAUAUUGGACAAUGGGUGAGAGCCUGAUCCAGCCAUGCCGCGUGCAGGAAGAAGGCGUUAUGCGUUGUAAACUGCUUUUGCCAGGGGAUAAAAUGAGCGUGCGCGCUUAAUUGAAGGUACCUGGUGAAUAAGCCACGGCUAACUACGUGCCAGCAGCCGCGGUAAUACGUAGGUGGCAAGCGUUGUCCGGAUUUAUUGGGUUUAAAGGGUGCGUAGGUGGCCCUGUAAGUCAGUGGUGAAAUAUCUCAGCUUAACUGAGAGGGUGCCAUUGAUACUGCAGGGCUUGAGUACAGAUGAGGUAGGCGGAAUUGACGGUGUAGCGGUGAAAUGCAUAGAUAUCGUCAAGAACACCGAUAGCGAAGGCAGCUUACCAAGCUGUAACUGACACUGAGGCACGAAAGUGUGGGGAUCAAACAGGAUUAGAUACCCCAGUAGUCCCUG
rnacentral:rRNA from 1 species